CCUACGGGAGGCUGCAGUCGAGAAUCAUUCACAAUGGGGGAAACCCUGAUGGUGCGACGCCGCGUGGGGGAAUGAAGGUCUUCGGAUUGUAAACCCCUGUCAUGUGGGAGCAAAUUAAAAAGAUAGUACCACAAGAGGACGAGACGGCUAACUCUGUGCCAGCAGCCGCGGUAAGACAGAGGUCUCAAGCGUUGUUCGGAAUCACGGGGCGUAAAGCGUGCGUAGGCUGUUUCGUAAGUCGUGUGUGAAAGGCGCGGGCUCAACCCACGGACUGCACAUGAUACUGCGAGACUAGAGUAAUGGAGGGGGAACCGGAAUUCUCGGUGUAGCAGUGAAAUGCGUAGAUAUCGGGAGGAACACUCGUGGCGAAGGCGGGUUCCUGGACAUUAACUGACGCUGAGGCACGAAGGCCAGGGGAGCGAAAGGGAUUAGAUACCCUUGUAGUC
rnacentral:rRNA from 1 species